CUGUGAUAGUGUUUGUGCUCAUAUGACAUACGGAGACAACUGCAAGGUAGACUGUCCAUGUGAUAGAAUUAAUACCGAAUCUUGCGAUAUGGAAUCUGGAGAGUGCGUGUGUAAGCCAGGGUAUACCGGGUUUUCCUGCAACUGCCAAACUGGUUCUCAUACCUGUAACACAACCGUUUCUGAUUGCUACGAAGAAUCGAGUGAAGUAUUCUGCAUUUGUAAGAAUGGUUUUACGAAUUCGAAGAACAACUGUACAGACAAUGUGCGAAUAAACUCCGAUGGUAUCGUGCAAGUCUUCGAAGG